UAACACAUCUCGGGUAGAUUCUUAUCUAGUUAUGAAAAACUCAUACCUGACCGCUCAAAAUCACUCAUAAUUACAAGCCUGACUAAAUCAUUGAAAAUGAAAAAUACAAGACAACUACUAAAUAAACAAAAGCUUUUAAG
rnacentral:pre_miRNA from 13 species